CCAAAAUGCUAUCUUCUGGCGCAUUAAAUGUUGUCAUUUAACAUCAUAGAGACACCUUUAACUUUGUCCUUGUGUCGUUUUUCAGAUAUAACAAAUAUUUCAGUCGUCAGCUGACACAAAAUGUGUUUCUUGUUAGCUAUCUCUUGGGUUCGCCCAACACUCUGACACACUCUUAAUACCAAGUGAAGGAACAUUUCUCUGACUUACCAGUCACUUUCGUGACAGCAAGAAGAGAGAAGGAAGAAAGUUACACCUUGGAGGUUCUGUUAUGGAAGCAAGUACCCCUCUGUCUCAAUCUCUGUGUUUUCCUUCCCUGCCAAUGCCUCCAUGGAAGUCUGCAGGAACCGCAAGCUCACCAACACAGAGCCCUGAGAGUGAUGGACAAAGGGGGAGAAAUUUGCACUGAAAGUCCAUCUGCAGUUGGUCGAUGUUCUGUUUCUGGAAGCAGCGGCCCGGUGUGUCUGUGUCCUUGUAGAAGCGAAUGCCGUUCCUCAGGCCGCCCUUCAGAGAAGACUCCAGACUGCCUGUCAUUGCGUAGCUCAUGAUGACCCCCAGCAGCAUGAGCACGGUGAAGAAAGAAGAGACAGCAAAAUAUGGCUUCAGGAAGGUCUUCCAGCGGGGAAAUCUGCCGGCAUCCAGAGCAUCCUGGCAGAUCUUUGAAGCAAAGUAGUUGAUUCCCAAAGAGGCUAGACCAACAAUGAUGAGGGUGUUAGGCACCACAUGUAUGUCUGAGUUAUCCAUUACCUGUAAGUAAGGCACAGGAAAAUAUAUAAGGCAUUAAUACUAUUUGUUUUCUACAAGCAGAUAAUCAAGCAACUUGUUAAAUGAUGUUGCAUUAGAAAAUAUAUCCCCUCACAUUAUGUAUUUGCCUAAAAUGACCCCAAUAUUCAUCUGAAAAUACAUGUUAAAGCUCCAGUAGGGAAUUUUUAGCUGGUGAUAAAAACAGACUGAAAUGUAUACUGAUGCUUUCUUAUGACCAACAACAGCAAACUACACCAUUAGUAUAAAGAUUUAUUUAUUACUACAUAGUUUAUUUCCAUGUCUGAAAAUGCUGCAGGGGGUAGGUGACAGAUAGAUUUUUUUUGUAAAAAUAUAACAAGAACAAGACAAAACCAACAAAGAGAUAAAGAGGUACCACUUUGUCAACAGGGGGCGUCAAAAUCGCCAGAAACCAAAACUUCCUUACAGGAGCUUUAACUAUCAAACAAGCAAAGUUAAACACAUUUUUGCACAGCAGUCCUUACCAGACUGUGGGUAUAUGUAUCUGCUUAUAGGUAGAAUAUUCAGUUACAGGUGGAUUUAUAGAUGUACAUGUAUAAAUUAUAGAUGUAUUGUCCCUCACUUUAUGAACAUGUCCAACUAAUUCAGCCUGAGUUAACAAUCUUGACUUCAAAGCUUAAGUUUUGUGAGAAAAAAGGGAGUCUGGAGAGCUUAGAAGUUCAAAGGAAGUGUGAUGAAGAUGCUCUUUGAAAGGAAACACCGAGAUUAAAAGAGAGAGAUAGAGAGAAGAAAGGCACUCUCCUGAAAAGAAGUGAGAAAUCGUUAUGAAGUUGAGUCUGAUUUUGGAAUGCUAAAAUGUGGACAACUCCUGUCACAAAAUAAUUCAUAAUUGAGAGCCUUUCAGUUCAAUCACAGCCUUUGAGUGCUGAGCAGCUCACUUCAAGUUUAUUAGAUGGGCUUCUUAGCUCAAGGGCAGCUACAAUAAAUGGAGUUGCUGAGGGAAGAUGAAGCACAUUAAUAGUCUUUUAUUAAGUCAGUGACAAACAAUCCCAGACUAUUCAAUAAAAUGUUUCU